AUGGUCAUCAUCAGUCACUACUCUUAGUGUAGUUGUUGCUGUGCAACCAACUCUGAUAAUUGGCAGCUCCAUAGUCAGAAUCGUGAAGUUAGCGAAGCCAGCGGCCAUAGUUAAAUGUAUCCCUGGGGCCAGAGCGGGCGACAUUGAAUCAAAUUUAAAACUGCUGGCUAAAGAUAAAAGUAAAAAUAAUAAGUUUGUUAUUCACGUUGGCGGUAAUGACACCCGUUUACGCCAAUCGGAGGUCACUAAGAUUAAUGUGGAGUCGGUGUGUAAUUAUGCUAAGACAAUGUCGGACACCGUAGUUUUCUCUGGACCCCUCCCCAAUGUGACCAGUGAUGACAUGUAUAGCCGCAUGUCGUCAUUCCACCGCUGGCUGUCGAGGUGGUGUCCAGCAAACGAUGUGGGCUUCAUUGAUAACUGGAAGCCUUUUUGGGGAAAACCUGGUCUGAUUAGGAGAGACGGCAUCCAUCCCACUUUGGACGGAGCGGCUCUCUUAUCUAGAAAUAUGGCGAAGUUUAUUUCUAAAACCUGACAGUCCAGAGUUAGGACCAGGAAGCAGAGCUGCUGUCUUACACACUUCUCUGCUCUUUCUUUAGAACAGUCACCCACCCAAAACCCCAUAGAGACUGUGUCUGUCCCCCGACCACCUAAAUUAUUUAAAGAAAUAAAAACAAGAGGAGUUCAACAUAAAAAUCUAAUAAAAAUUAAAACUAACUCCUCAGUAGCACAAAAUAAGAGAAUGAAAUGUGGGCUGUUAAAUAUCAGGUCUCUGUCCUCUAAAGCUGUUUUAGUGAAUGAAUUAAUAUCAGAUUAUGAUAUUGAUUUACUUUGUCUUACUGAGACCUGGUUGUCCUACGAGGAGUAUGUAUGAGUAUGAAUCCACCCCCCCCAGUCAUAUUAAUACUCACAUUCCUCGAGGCACAGGCCGAGGAGGUGGAGUGGCAGCCAUAUAUGAUUCGAGCGUUUUAAUGGACCCUAAACCUAAACUAAAUUAUAAUUCAUUUGAAAGCCUUGUUCUUAGUCUUUCUCACCCAUCCUGGAAAACACUGCAGCCAGUUCUAUUUGUUAUAGUGUACCGCGCUCCUGGACCGUACUCUGAUUUUAUAUCUGAAUUGUCAGAGUUUCUAUCAAGUUUAGUCCUUAAAUCAGAUAAAGUAAUUAUUGUAGGUGAUUUUAAUAUUCAUGUGGAUGUUGACAAUGACAGCCUUAGUAAUGCAUUUAUAUCAUUAAUAGACUCAAUUGGCUUCUGUCAGAGUGUAAAUAAACCAACUCAUUGUUUUAAUCACACUCUUGACCUUGUUUUAUCAUAUGGCAUUGAUAUUGAACAUUUAAUAGUCUUCCCACAUAAUCCUCUCCUAUCUGACCAUUAUUUAAUAACUUUUGAAUUCAUACUAUUAGAUUAUAAGCCAUUAGGCAAAACUUUCUACAGCAGAUGUCUAUCUGACAGUGCUGUAGCUAAAUUUAAGGAGGAGAUUCCUUCAGUGUUUAAUUCAAUGCCAUGUCUGAAUUUAACAGAGUCCUAUAACGACUUUAGUCCCUCUGAAAUUCAUAAUCUUGACGAUAGUGCUACAGGCUCACUACGAUCAACAUUAGACUCUAUCGCUCCUAUAAAAAGGAAAUUAUUAAAACAUAGGAGACUAGCACCUUGGUAUAACCACCAAACCAGCCAGUUAAAACAAAUAGCUAGAAAAUCUGAAAGGAAAUGGCGCUCUUCCAAAUUAUCAGAAUAUCGCUCAAAUUGGCAAGAUAAUCUUAAAAUGUAUAGAAAGGCCCUCCGUAAUGCCAGAGGAGCCUAUUACUCAGCACUAAUAGAAGAAAAUAAGAACAACCCUAGGUUCCUCUUCAGCACUGUAGCCAGGCUGACAGAGAGUCACAGCUCUAUUGAGCCACAUAUCCCCAUAAACUUAAGUAGCAAUGACUUCAUGAGCUUCUUCUAUAAUAAAAUUAUUACUAUUAGAGAAAAAAUUAAUCACCAACUGCCAUCAACAGUUAUCAGUGGCUCUCCAAGUUCAGGGACUUCUGUCAAUGUAAACUUAGAUAUUUAUUUAGACUGUUUUUCUGCUAUCGCUCUUCAUCAGUUAACUUCAAUCAUUUCUUCAUCGAAGCCAUCAACCUGUCUAUUAGACCCGAUCCCAACUAGGCUGCUUAAAGAAGUUGUUCCCUUAAUUGGCACUUCUUUACUGGAUAUGAUUAAUCUUUCUUUAUUAUAAGGAUAUGUACCACAGUCCUUUAAAGUAGCUGUAAUUAAACCCCUUCUUAAAAAGUCCACUCUUGACCCAGGGGUUUUAGCCAACUAUAGACCGAUUUCUAACCUCCCCUUCCUCUCUAAGAUUCUGGAGAAAGUAGUCGCCAAAGAGUUGUGUGACUUUCUACAUAACAAUAGUUUAUUUGAGGAUUUUCAGUCAGGAUUUAGAGUUCAUCAUAGCACAGAGACAGCUCUGGUUAAAGUUAAUAAUGACCUUCUGACUGCUUCUGACAAUGGACUUGUCUCUGUACUUGUAUUAUUAGAUCUUAGUGCUGCAUUUGACACCAUUGACCAUGAUAUUCUUUUACAGAGACUUGAGCAUCAAAUUGGCAUUAAAGGAACUGCCCUAACCUGGUUUAAGUCAUACUUAUCAGAUCGUUCUCAGUUUGUACAUGUUAACGAUGAAUCCUCCAAAAAUACUAAAGUUAGUCAUGGAGUUCCACAAGGUUCUGUACUUGGACCAAUACUAUUUACUUUAUAUAUGCUCCCUUUAGGCAACAUUAUUAGGAAUCACUCCAUUAACUUUCACUGUUAUGCAGAUGAUACGCAGUUAUAUCUAUCAAUCAAACCCAAUGAAAUUAAUCAAUUAUCUAAAUUACAAACAUGUCUUACGGACAUAAAAUCCUGGAUGACCUGCAAUUUUCUGAUGUUAAACUCAGAAAAAAACGAAAUUCUUGUUCUUGGCCCCAAAAACCUUAGAGACUCAUUGUCUAAAGAUAUAGUCACUCUAGAUGGCAUUAACUUGGCCUCUAGCACCACUGUCAGGAAUCUUGGAGUUAUCUUUGAUCAGGAUUUGUCAUUUAACUCCCACAUAAAGCAGACCUCUAGGACCGCCUUCUUUCAUUUACGUAAUAUUAGAAAAAUCAGACACAUCCUAUCACAGACAGAUGCAGAAAAACUAAUCCAUGCAUUUGUUACUUCAAGGCUGGAUUACUGCAACUCUUUAUUAUCAGGUUGCCCCAAUAAGUCCAUUAAAAGAGUCCAAUUAAUUCAGAACGCUGCAGCACGAGUACUGACAGGAACUAGAAAAAGAGAUCACAUCUCUCCUGUACUAGCUUCUCUGCAUUGGCUCCCUGUAAAAUGUAGAAUUGAAUUUAAAAUCCUCCUCCUCACCUAUAAAGCUCUUCAUGGUCAGGCCCCUUCAUAUCUUAAAGAGCUCAUAGUACCCUAUUACCCCACUAGAACACUACGUUCUCUGAAUCCUGGGCUACUUGUGGUUCCUAUAGUCUCUAAAAGUAGAACAGGAGCCAGAGCCUUCAGUUACCAAGCUCCUCUCCUGUGGAACCAGCUUCCAGUUGUGGUUCGGGAGGCAGACACCCUCACCACAUUCAAGAGUAGGCUUAAGACAUUCCUCUUUGAUAAAGCUUAUAGUUAGGGCUGGAUCAGGUGAGUCCUGAACCAUCCCUUAGUUAUGCUGCUAUAGGCCUAGACUAUCGGGGGAUUUCCCAUGGUGCACUGAGCUACUCUCUUCCUCUCUCUUUCUGCACUCAUUCAUGCCCCUUUAAUGCAUGUUACUAACUCCACUUCUUCCCCGGAGUUCUUGUGCUUUCUCGUCUCGCAGGUUCUCAUGGAUCCUGGUGGAGCCUCCUGCCAUGGUCCUGCUUGACUGCCAUUGCCAAUACUGUUGUUGCUGUGCACCUGUCUGUCUGUCUGUCGCUCUCUCUCUCUCUCUCUCUCUCUCUCUCUCUCUCUCACCCCAACUGGUCGAGACAGACGACCACCCACCUAGAGCCGGAGGAUCUGUCCUAGGUUUCUGCCUUUUAACAGGCAGUUUUUCCUUGCCCUUGUCGCCAAGUGCUUGCUCAUGGUGGUACUGUUGGGCCUCUGUAAUUAAUGUUAAAGAGUUCGGUCUAGACCUGCUCUAUUUGAAAAGUGUCCUGAGAUAACUUCUGUUAUGAAUUGGCGCUAUACAAAUAAAAUUGAAUUGAAUUGAA